ACCCUAGAUUUUCUUUGAACACUAGAGUAACUUAAAUGAAACAUAACAUAUUUUUAUAUUAUUUCUUCAUUAUAUAUAUAUAUAUUAAAGUUAUCGUUCCUUAGCUACAGUAAAUGUGCUAAGGAAUUAACAUAAAUGGUCCCAUGUUUAUGUCUUUAGUUACAGUUCUGGUCAUUUCUGUUAUAUUUUGAUUUAUUUAAUUUCUCCGUUUUAGGUUUAUUCCACCACCGCCGACCUUCUGACACUAUCACCAUACGUGGCUUCUGUAUCUCCUCACCACCUCACCUGCCACUCCUCUUAUGCCAUCUUCAUGAUCCACCGCCUACUUCUCUCCAUGUUUUACGUCUUUUCUCCCAAAGAGGGUUACUUUACCGGGGUUAAGGCACCGCUUCUAUCAUCUUAGUAGACAACCUUCCCAAUCCAUAUCCACUGCUUCUUUCUUCCACAGUAAAGUUCCAUCCACCGACUCCACUGCCUGCUUUCAUCUGCAUUUCUUUCGUCACGAUCCCUUCCCUAUCUGCUAUUCGACUCUUCAAUUCCGCCAUAGCCGACGCCGACGAGUAUGCGUACACCACAGACGUCUCCGACGAGUCUGCCCCCACCAUUGUAGAAGCCGGCGAGCCCUAAUUUCGUGUACCUUUACUUCAACUCCGGCCACAUCCACAUCCGACGAGUCAUGCUUCGAUUCCGGAUACAUUCAAUGUCGGGUGCGAUUCAUUGUUAAUAGACUUUGUGUGAGAUUAAGGUACAACACAACUAAUUUUCAGUUUCUUACUUCCCACUAUCGUUGUUGGUUGCAGCCUCAAAUCAACGAACGUUCUCCUCUACCAUCCUCUGUUUCAGACCCUAAUCCGGGUAACCUUUCGUUCAUGUUUUCUUCUUUCUCCAUGUCUACUGUAUGGUCUAAAGAUGCAUAAAUUGGUGUGAAAUCAAGAUCAGAGACGAUAAUGGAAACUACAAUCAUCUAUCAUUCUUUGGGAAAGGUACCCACUUUUUUUGUUACUUUUGUAACAUUUUUCAUAAUUUACAUCAUAAUUUUAGUUUUUCAUCAUAUUUGGUGUGUCAAUGAGUUAUGUGCCUGUCAAUUACGAUGAUUUUGGUGUUUGUUGCUGCAUUAUGGUUACAGUUUUACAUGGAAUGUGGGAAAGAAGUUCAGUUAAAGGUAGUUUUGGGGAUUCAUGUAUUUUUUCCUAAUUUGAGGUUAGAUUCCACUGGAAUUAAACCAAUCUCUCGCCCAUGUUCAUUUGUUCCUUUGGUAAAUUAUAGAUUUUUAUUAAUACUUUCUGGUGUGUCCUUGAUUUAUACCGGUGUCUUAUAUUUUGGCUUGCUUUAUGUUCUUUUCAUUUAAAUCUAUCUGCUAUAAAAUUCAUGAUUUGUAGGAUUUAAAGAAUUUUAAUGGGUUUCAAAAAAAGAAUAUCUCAAUUACAAAAAAUAGACGGUGGUUAAAGGUAUGUAUAGUCUCUUAACAUAGGAUUCAUAUAAAUAUGAUGUCUUUUGCCCUUAUUCAAGUUUUGGCUUUGAUGUAUAGUUCAAAUUCCUCAUUUACUGUCUUUCACAAGGUGACUAAGAUGGAGCUUACCAGGCUGUUAUAAGGCUAUUUUUGUCAAAUGAAGAUGAAAUACAUCUAACGAUGCAAGGUAAUGGAAUUCGUAAGCCAUGUCAACAGUAGACUGAAACAACAACAAAUUAGUAGGUUUUCCUUUGGAAGUGUUAAUGAGGUUGUUGCUUCAGCAGCAAUCGAAAUAACAUGAGCCGUUUGCAUCUGGUCAAGCUCUGAUUUGAUGACAUAAUGAAAGUAUAAACAAACAUGGAAUACAAGGUGCACAUUGACAUCAGAAGGAAAAGAGAGCAUGAAGGAAGUAACUCAUGUAGCUUAUGUCUCUUCAAUAUCACCCUGCAACUGGUGGAAACAGAAACAGAAGCAGAAGCAGAAGCCGAGAAUGUGGAUGACUCGCCUACAUUUUGGACAGCAUGUCCUUACUGUUUCUACAUGUAUAAGUAUCAAAGGGUCUAUGCAGAGUGCACUAUUUAACCAGAUGGGGAGGGUUAAACUCCAAUGUUGAAUCCAAUUAUUGACCACCUGAUUGAUCAAAUAAACAAAUAGAUGAUCAAAUAACAUUUACAAAGAACAAACAA